rnacentral:rRNA from 1 species
UACGUAGGGGGCAAGCGUUGUCCAGAAUUAUUGGGCGUAAAGAGCUCGUAGGCGGUUUGUCGCGUCUGCUGUGAAAACCUAAGGCUCAACCUUGGGCUUGCAGUGGGUACGGGCAGACUAGAGUGCGGUAGGGGUGACUGGAAUUCCUGGUGUAGCGGUGGAAUGCGCAGAUAUCAGGAGGAACACCGAUGGCGAAGGCAGGUCACCUGGGCCGC